UGCCAAUGAAUUAUUCCAUGUAAUAUAGCUUUGUAGUAUUUUCAGAAUAUUGGACGUUAUUAAUAAAAGAACAAUAGACAAUCCAAAUUUUAGAUUCCAAUUGUCUCUAAGAUGACUGUGUGUUUAUGAUAAGGACGGGGGAGGAAAAUGCCUGCCAGCUUCUUUGCUCCUGGAGAAGUCCCUCACUGAACUCUGAGGUAAGGAAGGAAUUAUUGUGUGCCUACUAUAUUCUACAUACUGUCCUUGUUGCUGGAAAUUGGCAGCAAAGAAUCAGCAAAGGUAGGAUUUCUUCCUCUAUAGAUUUUAAUGUUAAUAGAAGAAGAAGAAAAAGAAUAAAUAAAGUUAUAAGUAAAUAUGUU